UUGCGAGCCCUGAGCGGCAGCCCCAGCUGCCUGUGCACAACUGGGAGUGGCUUCCGGGAGCCAGGGGGCCACUGUGGCGCAGGCGCACACCUAACGGCUUUGCGGGGCUCGCUCAGUCUAAUAGGUCGCAGGCUGAGAGUGUUGCUGCUGAAGGCUGUGGUGGACCCGGCUGGAUCGCGGAUUCUGGGCUAGAAAGCAGAUUUGGGAUCGCAGAUUGGAGGUUGACACCCGGUGGGGGUUGGAGGAGCCGCAGCUCAGGAGCUGGUUUUUGAGAAUCUGAGAAUAAGUCACCACCUUGAAGAAGUUCCUCCGCUUUAGGAACCAGGGGCCGAAGCGGAGCAGAACCUCAGGUCCUGGGCUCCAUAGAUCCCAUCUACGCUGCUUCCGGGCACCGAAUCCCGGAAGCGGAACUGCGGAACAUCCGCAGGGCGGCUGUCAGGGGCAACUCCGUGGAGGUGGAGCUGCCUGGCGCGCAGGAGCGGAGGCCUGGACUCCCGGGACAAGCUGCACAGUGUGUCCCCAAGAAAGUGUCAGAACAUUUACCGAGACCUUCCAAUGGAAAAAACAAAACAAAACAGUAUAGUCAAUGUAAAAGGAGAAGAACAUUUUUCACGAACUGUGUGUGGAUUCAUGCCCUAAACCAGAUGAUGAAGACUUGACUUACUACCAAGAUGGAGUUUCACUUUGUCAUGGAGGUUGUAGUGCAGUACUGUGUUCUUACCACACUGCAACCUUUGCUCCUGAGUUUGAGCAAUUCUCCUGCCUCAGCCUCCCAAGUCUCGGACUACAGGUUACAGUCUCCUAUUACCCCAAAAUGAAAUCUCAAAUGUCCUCCAUUCUGCAUAAAACCCAUGCUGGCCCCCUCAGUGGAAAACAUCAACCAUGAAUUACGGGUCUCUUCACUUCACCUUCACACCACCGAUUUCUGUCAUACUGCCUGUGCUUAUUACCAUGUAUGUCUAGCAUUAGACUGGACUCCUAGGGAAAAGGAAUUCACAUUCAUUUCUUGGUCCCGAGGGCAAAACUCCAAAGUGUAAUUAAGGAAAGAACUCCAAUUCUUUCAAGUUCUGAAUUCCUGGUCCUCUGAAAAAUGGCAGUGUGAAUUCAAGCUCAGCUUGUUUUCCUGAUCCAGUUCUCCAUCUUACAAAAUAAGCCAAGAAGGCAAAAAUGUCUAGAGAUUACUCCCCCAUGGUAAUCUUUGCAAAUAAAACUUUUAGACCUAACUUUAUACUAAUAAAAAUUUGAUGAUUUUUUUUUUUUUU